AUCCACCAAAAUCCCAACUGAGCAUGGAGAGUGCUCUAGAACCCUCUUAUUGACCCAACGAAACUCAUUUCGAGUUGUCUCCAAUGUGCCAUCCAACCUCUGAUGCUUGUGGAAUGGGAGGAUUAUCAUUGCAGCCCUUUUCCUUUCAGCACUGGUGCAGAUAUCCUCAUGCAUGUCAUGCAUUGCCGAGAUUGCUGUCAUUGGACGAAUAAACAC
rnacentral:misc_RNA from 1 species